GGAUGCUCAAUCCGGUUGUUUUC
rnacentral:siRNA from 1 species